UUUCCGUAGGUGAACCUGCGGAAGGAUCAUUAUCGAAAUACUUAUUUAGCGUUCCGUGCUAUCCCAUUGUUUUAUUUACCCUGUUGCUUCCACUGGAUGAGUUUCCAUACCUUGUGUUUGAGAAACUUUGGCUUGUGUAAGAUUCAUUCACGGCCAGCCAGUGAGAAGACCAUUUACAAAACCCUGUUAAGAACCAAUUGUCUGAAUAUUUUACUCCAAUGAAAUAAAACUUUCAACAACGGAUCUCUAGGCUCUUACAUCGAUGAAGAACGCAGC
rnacentral:misc_RNA from 1 species